CCGAGUUUACAACUCCCAAACCCCUGUGAACAUACCAUAUUGUUGCCUCGGCGGUGCCUGUUUCGGCAGCCCGCCAGAGGACCCAAACCCUAGAUUACAUUAAAGCAUUCUUCUGAGUCAAUGAUUAAAUCAAUCAAAACUUUCAACAACGGAUCUCUUGGUUCUGGCAUCGAUGAAGAACGCAGCGAAAUGCGAUAAGUAAUGUGAAUUGCAGAAUUCAGUGAAUCAUCGAAUCUUUGAACGCACAUUGCGCCCGCCAGUAUUCUGGCGGGCAUGCCUGUCCGAGCGUCAUUUCAACCCUCAAGCCCCCGGGCUUGGUGUUGGAGAUCGGCGAGCCCUCCGGGGCGCGCCGCCUCCCAAAUAUAGUGGCGGUCCCGCUGUAGCUUCCUCUGCGUAGUAGCACACCUCGCACUGGGAAACAGCGUGGCCACGCCGUAAAACCCCCCACUUCUGAAAGGUUGACCUCGGAUCAGGUAGGAAUACCC
rnacentral:rRNA from 1 species